GGUGGAUCCAGGGCCUAAGGGUCCCUCCAGGGCCUGUCUUUCUCUCCCACAUAGAAAGAGGAGGAGGAAUCAGAGCAGACCAGUGUGAAGAAAAGACUUUAUUGCAGGUAUUUCAAGAAGUGGUACAAACCCAUCCCGGGGAAGAAGUGGGGUGCUCAGACCUGAGACACCACCACAUCUGGGGUGGAGGUCCUGUUUCCUGAGGUAGGGGUCAGUCUCCACCCCUUUGAGCGGCCACACUUGAUGAGUUACUAAACUUGUUGCCAGGGCCCAGAGUAAGUGAGCUGAUAAGGGAAUUUCGAAGGGAAGCUUUUUUGUUUGUUUGUUUCAUUUAAGGAGAAGUAACCUACUUAAAGAGGGUAUUGGGGGAACAGUGCGGCUAUGCAAAACCCAGGCUGCCCGCUCUGCUGCCUGCUGCUUGCAGAGAUGCGAAGGGGCCCAGUCCCUAAUCUAAUUCCACCUGAGAAGUCACUGUUCCUACAAUACCAUACUUUAAACAUCACUCUUGUUUUCAAGAAUAUCAAGGGAAGGGGGAAAGAGUAGGAGGAGAAAAGGGUGUCAAAAAUGAUCAAGAUAGGAUAUACAUAUGUUUGUACGAAUUCCCAAGACAAAUAUAAAUAUUAUGGAUAACAAACAUAUACCAAUAAAAUGGAAAAAAAUGUAGCAGUCUGUAUAUUUAUAGUAAAUACAUGGAUUAAUACUAGUAGCUAAUUCUGGGUAAAAUCUCACCACAGAUAGGCCCUGUCUAUAUCUAUACCCAUUUAAUCUUCCCCACAAACCUAAAUGGUAAGCACUAUUAUCAUCUGGUUGGUAGUUGAAGGAAAUGAACCACAGACACCUCAAAUAACUUCCCCAAGAUAUCAGUGGAUGUCUGGCUGAAGUUCUUAACCUUUACUUUAUACUCACUAACAGCAAAAAUGAGAAGAACCACUUUUCAAGAAUGCAAAUUUUGUUCCAGGAACAUUCAUUAUCUCACUUCACCUUUGUGCUCCUGUGAGUAAAUAAUGUCUCUGUUCUACAGAUGAGGAAACCAAGGCUUCGAGGUACCCAAUAACUGGCUUAAAGUUACUGUCAAAACACAGGGCCCUCAUACAUGCUUCUACAGCAGUCUUAAUCCAUGCUUCAUUCUCCAAGAUUUGCCUCAUACUUCUGCCACGCUUAUGCCAACACAUCAACUGCGCUUUAUGGAGCUUCCAGCUCACUAUAUCACGUGUUGAAUGCUAGUAAAUAAUGGAGCUGAAACUCUGGAAUUGCAAAGAGGAUAUAAAUUGUGAUCCUACUAUUUCUAGUCAGAAAAGUUUAAAACUGGCAUCUGUGGCCCUCACUUCUCUGCCAGACUCCAUGUCCCGAAGGCUGACCUUGCAGAGUGCACCACCUGGGCUACCUGUUCAGUUCAACCAACAAGAAUUGUCCUCUUCCACUGCCUCAAUGCUAAGGAUCCAACUGUGGCUUCUCCUUUUAUAACAACUCCUGAUAGACUCUUACCAUAACACCAGCUCUCCCUAAGAUCCAAAAACAUGAUUGCCUCCCCUGUUCCUUUAGGCCUAACAGUAAUAUCAUCUUCUUCUUACAGCCAUACGUGGGUGCCGUAGGAUCCCUUGCUGAUGUGAUCCAUUCAUAGUUCUAUAUAAGCCAUGAGCAAAUAGCUUUGCUCCUCCUCCCUGCUCUCCUACCAGGAUGUGCUGCUCUGCCACAGGUCCAAAAGUAAUGAGGCCAACCAACUAUGGACUGAAGCUUCCUAAACUGUGAGCCAAACAAAACCUUUCUUGUGAUAAAUUGAUCAUCUCAGAUAUUUGUUUUAGUAAUGGAUAUCUAAGAUAGAAAAUUCUGGGUUAGGCCUUAGCAACCACCACAGUUAGAUGAUUCAAAGGUUAUCUUAUUAAAAUAUUCUAAGUAUCAGUUCUGUCAGG
rnacentral:lncRNA from 1 species